rnacentral:lncRNA from 1 species
AAAACUUCUCACGCUACUAGUAAAGAAGGUAACUGCACAACCAUGUAAUUUAUGUGCUAGCAUCGCCCACGACACUACAAAUUUUCCAUCGAAUCCUACUUUAGAAGAGGUGUAAGAGGUCAAUGCAUACAAUGGAAGAAGGCCCCCGAAUAAUCCUUACUCCAAUACAUACAACCCGGGGUGGAGACAACACCCAAACUUCUCGUGGAGAAAUUCACAUAAUACAAUGUGAUGCACAAAUUCAUCAAGGUCAUACCAAUAGCCUUAUCAAGGUCCUUCAC